CCCUCGGCAUGUCUGAAUUGCUCGGAAACAGCCUGAUCAACUUCAGUGGAGCAGCAAGGUCGGCCCCUUCAGCCAACACCCCAGCCACCUUCAAGACCGUCGCACUCUUCUCCAAGAAGAAGGCCGCACCACCUCCCAAGGCCAAGGCUGUUGCUCCCGCUGACGAAGAGCUCGCCAAGUGGUAUGGUAAGUGUACAUCUAAUUAUCUAUUGAAGUGUGUAUACAGUGUAUUUGCUCAUCAUUCAUAUAUCUCACACUCGGUGAGUUUUGUAAUAUAUCAUAUGGACUUUAACACAUAAAUAAAUGUAAUGUAAUGUAAUUUGCCUAGCUAAUUGGAAGUAGAUUGAUUCAAUAGCUCAUAAUUAUGUUAAUUACUGUUCUAAAAAUUGCAGCCUAGCGCCGCCUAUGCUGCUUUGGUGCUAGGUGGUUUGUCAUUGCCUCGAUUAAUUUAUAGGCGUUAAAAUUAAGAAAUGGCGCAUAGAAAUGUUUAGGCGCCCGCCUAGCCUACCUAGACCCACCUAAGCACCCACUUAGGUCGUAACUCUUACUUAGACAGAUAAUAUAUAACUUUUAUUUUGUAUUUUAGAUUUUUAAUAAAUUGUAAGAGACUUGUUGAAUACUUGGAUUAACACUCAUUAUAUUCUGUUUCUCAUGUUUUCAAUAUGUUCUAAUACUUUCUAAUCUAUAUGUCAUUCUAUUUUUCAAUUUAUGUAUCCGAAUAUACUUAUGUAUUUUUUAAGUAUAAACAUACACUUAUUUAUAUCAUAUAUAAUAACUUUACUUAAAUCUGCCUAGGCGCUAAACUCCAGUCCGCUGUCCGACUAACGCCUAGCGUCUUAGAACUUUGAUGAUAAUUGUGGUAUUCGCAUUUCAGGUCCUGAUAGAAGAAUCUUCUUGCCGUCGGGGCUCUUGGACCGAUCAGAGAUCCCAGAGUACUUGACCGGAGAAGUUCCUGGAGAGUAAGAUAGUAGUCUCUCUCUCUCUCCCCCCACUCUCUGCCUACUUAUUUAACAAUUAAUUACCAGAUAUCUAA
rnacentral:lncRNA from 1 species